rnacentral:lncRNA from 1 species
GUUCCUUCACUGAACUGAAAGGAUUGGGAAUCCUUUGAAUGGCCAAAAACUCUCUCAGGAUCCAUCUGCAACGUGCCUCCUCCGAUGAUAAAUCCCAGGUAUUUCAGUGACAUGAAGCAGAAUUUUGAGUUGUUCAAACCUAUUGUUAAAUUUGCUUUUCGCAGGCACGGCGGGAGCUAUCACCAAGAGAUCAUCGAGAUAGACUUUAGAUCUCAGCUGUGUCGGGAUCACUUUGUCCAUCACUCGGCAUAGUCUCUGUGCAGCGUUACACAGACUGAAGGGCAUCAUCACCAAUUGAUACAGCGGACGACCUGAAACGGUGGACGCGGUACACUUUCUGCUUUCUGGAUCCAGCUUGAUUUGCCAGAACGCAAAUUUGAGGUCUACACUUGAAAUUUAGUGCGUUUGGUCGAUCCUGGACAGUAUUCCAUCGAUGCUAG